GCAGCAUAGGGGGGUUGUGAAGGCGGCAGCCUCCCCUAGAGUCCCUACCAGGGAGAAUGCUAACCAUUGUGAACCAACCGGGGGUCAGCAGAAUUAUUUUUAAAUACAGACCCCAUUACAUCAUCCUCUUCUCUAGGCCCCUCAGUGACUCCCCUAGCUCAGCCUCUGCCCCUCGCACGCACAGCCUCUGGAGACAGGCUCCCUCCUGGGUUUCACCCUCCUCUCCUCUUCCUCCCAGCUGUCCCUCCCUCCCCUCCGGGACACUGCAUAAGGAAUUGCCCCAAGACUCAGGAGUGUACACAGGCCCUGGGCAGGUUCACAGAGCAGCUCUGCUUCCAGCUGCGGGUAGUUCCCUCAGCGCCCCCCGCCCCACCUGCUUGAACCAGGGGUCAGCCAUGAUGGGUCGAGAAUGUUCCCCAAAAGGAUAUGUCAAAGCCCUACCCCCAAGUACCUGUGAACCUGACUUUAUUUG
rnacentral:lncRNA from 10 species